CCUACGGGAGGCAGCAGUGAGGAAUAUUGGUCAAUGGCCGUAAGGCUGAACCAGCCAAGUAGCGUGAGGGAAGACUGCCCUAUGGGUUGUAAACCUCUUUUAUGCGGGGAUAAAGGUGUCCACGUGUGGAUGUUUGCAGGUACCGCGUGAAUAACGACCGGCUAAUUCCGUGCCAGCAGCCGCGGUAAUACGGAAGGUCCGGGCGUUAUCCGGAUUUAUGGGGUGUAAAGGGAGCGUAGGCCGGUCUUUAAGCGUGCCGUGAAAGUUGGUGGCUCAACCAUGAGAGUGCGGCGCGAACUGGAGACCUGGAGUGCGCGGAAGGCAGGCGGAAUUCGUGGUGUAGCGGUGAAAUGCUUAGAUAUCACGAAGAACCCCGAUGGCGAAGGCAGCCUGCUGCAGCGUGACUGACGCUGAAGCUCGAAAGCGUGGGUAGCGAACAGGAUUAGAUACCCCUGUAGUC
rnacentral:rRNA from 1 species